AUGAACGCUGGCGGCGUGCUUAACACAUGCAAGUCGAACGGUGAACACGGAGCUUGCUCUGUGGGAUCAGUGGCGAACGGGUGAGUAACACGUGAGCAACCUGCCCCUGACUCUGGGAUAAGCGCUGGAAACGGCGUCUAAUACUGGAUAUGUGACGUGACCGCAUGGUCUGCGUUUGGAAAGAUUUUUCGGUUGGGGAUGGGCUCGCGGCCUAUCAGCUUGUUGGUGAGGUAAUGGCUCACCAAGGCGUCGACGGGUAGCCGGCCUGAGAGGGUGACCGGCCACACUGGGACUGAGACACGGCCCAGACUCCUACGGGAGGCAGCAGUGGGGAAUAUUGCACAAUGGGCGCAAGCCUGAUGCAGCAACGCCGCGUGAGGGAUGACGGCCUUCGGGUUGUAAACCUCUUUUGGCAGGGAAGAAGCGAAAGUGACGGUACCUGCAGAAAAAGCGCCGGCUAACUACGUG
rnacentral:rRNA from 1 species